CCUGCCCCUAAGGGCACUGCGGGUGUGGCUGCCAUGUCACUGUGCAUCAGCUGGCAGCAGGGAGGAGAGAGGCCACGCCUACACUCAGUGUUCUGACCUGUGAACAGCUGAAUGACUAAAAAAACAAA